AUUGAACGCUGGCGGAAUGCUUUACACAUGCAAGUCGAACGGCAGCACGGGGGCAGCCCUGGUGGCGAGUGGCGAACGGGUGAGUAAUACAUCGGAACGUGCCCGGUCGUGGGGGAUAACGGAGCGAAAGUUACGCUAAUACCGCAUACGAUCUGAGGAUGAAAUCGGGGGACCUUCGGGCCUCGCGCGAUCGGAGCGGCCGAUGCCAGAUUAGGUAGUUGGUGGGGUAAAGGCCUACCAAGCCGACGAUCUGUAGCUGGUCUGAGAGGACGACCAGCCACACUGGGACUGAGACACGGCCCAGACUCCUACGGGAGGCAGCAGUGGGGAAUUUUGGACAAUGGGCGCAAGCCUGAUCCAGCCAUUCCGCGUGCAGGACGAAGGCCUUCGGGUUGUAAACUGCUUUUGUACGGAACGAAAAGGCUCUGGCUAAUACCUGAGGCUCAUGACGGUACCGGAAGAAUAAGCACCGGCUAACUACGUG
rnacentral:rRNA from 1 species